UGGCGGACGGGUGAGUAAUGUCCGGGAAACUGCCUGAUGGAGGGGGAUAACUACUGGAAACGGUAGCUAAUACCGCAUAAUGUCUACGGACCAAAGCGGGGGACCUCCGGGCCUCGCGCCAUCAGAUGAACCCAUAUGGGAUUAGCUAGUAGGUAAGGUAACGGCUUACCUAGGCGACGAUCCCUAGCUGGUCUGAGAGGAUGAUCAGCCACACUGGGACUGAGACACGGCCCAG
rnacentral:rRNA from 1 species